CUUGUUGCGUCUCCCCUGUUCCCUUGUAAAAAUAUAUAAAUUCUAAGCUAUAUUAAGUUAACACGACUACUUUGAUUCAGCAACCUAGAUGUAAUUCUAACAAUGGGUAAAGUGAAUUUUAAGCCAUGAACUAGGUUGUUAAUCUUCAGGAUGUCCAUCCAUGGUGUUUAGUGUUUUUUUAUAACCAUAGACGUUAAUUAUGUAACUUCCUGUCGUAUAUAUAUUGUAAAAUUGCCUUAUAGUAGCAUUUCAGUUGAUUGUGUAAUUCCAGACUUGAGUGUAUUAUGUAAAUAGUUGUAAUGUAAGAAGUUAGGGGAAUACUUGGUCCUGACCAUUGGACCUAAACGAUAGUUAACUACAGGAUCGUAGUGGUGCAGUUGUCAGCGCCUCGGAGGUCUACACAAGGCUGUAACAAGCCGGACAAACGCCCAAAUCCAGAAUGCUUCUGCUGACAAUACUGGUGUGGGAGUGUAGUCUCGGGACUACAAUGCCCCAGACUGGUCCCUGGUGGUGGUGGUCUUCGUCUCCUGAGUAAAACCAGUUGUCUGCACCAGUAUUCGUCCCUUCCCAGAAGUCCUCCUCCAGGGAAAGUCUCUACAGUUCUCUAAAGACACUAAACGGUUUCAAACUAGUUUCUUUAGUCCUGUAUUACGUCCAACAGUUGUCUUCAAGCGGCACUCUUGUCCUUCCAACACCUUCCUGCACUGGAAGUGCCCCAGCUUCCCUUCGCCCCUCACCCCCAGCUUGUCUCCCGGCCUUAAAGGCCGCAGGGAACUACACUCCAUCCUGUGGAAUACCUGAUGCAUGAAACAACGGCUGGUAAGAACUGUGCGUAAAUACUGACACCUACAGCUGGGAUCAAGCCAACUCUUACUGCUAGUCUUGGCAGAGGGUUUCCAGCUAAUUAUCAAGGAUAAGGAAGCCUUCAGUCAGAAUUCGUGUGGAGAAGCGACAGAGGGCGGGGCGAGGGCCUGGAGGUGGUCAUCCGGGUACACUGUCCUCCACCAACUGGUCUCACUGGAGGGCUCGGGUGACAACAGGGAAGGCCAAGAGGACAGUCUCGGACUACUGAAGAACAUCUAUAACGACGCCAUAAAGUGGCAGGACAUUGCCAGCAUCUGUCUGUCGUCAGUGGGAACAGCCCGAGAUAUGUUUGCCAGAAAAUGGCCUCGUUUGCGGAAUUGUUUUUAAAAUAUUAAAAUUUAAACUAGCACAUAAUUUUCUUGA